CCUACGGGGAGGCAGCAGUGGGGAAUAUUGCACAAUGGGGGAAACCCUGAUGCAGCGACGCCGCGUGAGUGAAGAAGUAUUUCGGUAUGUAAAGCUCUAUCAGCAGGGAAGAAAAUGACGGUACCUGACUAAGAAGCCCCGGCUAACUACGUGCCAGCAGCCGCGGUACUACGUAGGGGGCAAGCGUUAUCCGGAUUUACUGGGUGUAACGGGAGCGUAGACGGUGAUGCAAGUCAGAAGUGAAAGCCUGGGGCUCAACUCCGGGACUGCUUUUGAUACUGUGUGACUUGAGUGCAGGAGAGGUAAGCGGAAUUCGUGGUGUAGCGGUGAAAUGCGUAGAUAUCAGGAGGAACACCAGUGGCGAAGGCGGCUUACUGGACUGUAACUGACGUUGAGGCUCGAAAGCGUGGGGAGCAAACAGGAUUAGAUACCCUGGUAGUC
rnacentral:rRNA from 1 species